rnacentral:rRNA from 1 species
AGAGUUUGAUCCUGGCUCAGAAUCAACGCUGGCGGCGCGCCUAACACAUGCAAGUCGAACGAGAAAGUGGAGCAAUCCAUGAGUACAGUGGCGUACGGGUGAGUAACACGUGGGUAAUCUACCUCUUUGUGUGGAAUAACCCUGGGAAACCGGGGCUAAUACCGCAUAAGCUCGAGAGAGGAAAGCAGCAAUGCGCUGAGAGAGGAGCCCGCGGCCGAUUAGCUAGUUGGCAGGGUAAAAGCCUACCAAGGCAAAGAUCGGUAGCCGGCCUGAGAGGGCACACGGCCACACUGGCACUGAAACACGGGCCAGACUCCUACGGGAGGCAGCAGUGGGGAAUCUUGCACAAUGGGGGAAACCCUGAUGCAGCGACGCCGCGUGAGCGAUGAAGCCCUUCGGGGUGUAAAGCUCUUUCGGCAGGGAAGAUGAUGACGGUACCUGCAGAAGCAGCUGCGGCUAACUACGUGCCAGCAGCCGCGGUAAUACGUAGGCAGCAAGCGUUGUUCGGAGUUACUGGGCGUAAAGGGUGUGUAGGCGGUCUUCUAAGUUUGGUGUGAAAUCUCCCGGCUCAACUGGGAGGGUGCGCCGAAUACUGAAAGACUAGAGUGCGGGAGAGGAUAGUGGAAUUCCUGGUGUAGCGGUGAAAUGCGUAGAUAUCAGGAGGAACACCGGUGGUGUAGACGGCUAUCUGGACCGUAACUGACGCUGAGACACGAAAGCGUGGGUAGCAAACAGGAUUAGAUACCCUGGUAGUCCACGCCCUAAACGAUGCAUAUUUGGUGUGGGCAGUUCAGUCUGUCCGUGCCGGAGCUAACGCGUUAAAUAUGCCGCCUGGGGAGUACAGUCGCAAGGCUGAAACUCAAAGGAAUUGACGGGGGCCCGCACAAGCGGUGGAGCAUGUGGUUCAAUUCGACGCAACGCGAAGAACCUUACCUGGGCUCGAACGGCCGGUUACCGGCGGUGGAAACAUCGCUACCCCGCAAGGGGUCCGGUCGAGUGCUGCA